UACGUAGGUGGCGAGCGUUAUCCGGAAUUAUUGGGCGUAAAGAGCGCGCAGGUGGUUAAUUGAGUCUGAUGUGAAAGCCCACGGCUUAACCGUGGAGGGUCAUUGGAAACUGGUUGACUUGAGUGCAGAAGAGGGAAGUGGAAUUCCAUGUGUAGCGGUGAAAUGCGUAGAGAUAUGGAGGAACACCAGUGGCGAAGGCGGCUUCCUGGUCUGCAACUGACACUGAGGCGCGAAAGCGUGGGGAGCAAACAGG
rnacentral:rRNA from 1 species